UAUUGCUGUGUGGGUCAUUUUCCUCGUUCUGCAUAUCGUUAAGACAUAUACAUCAACUUGUUCAACGGCAUAUUGGAUCUUAAACCUCUUACAGGUCCCUGUUGCUGUAGGAGUUUGUGCAUAUGAAGCAGUUUUCUUGUAUAACGGAACGAGG